rnacentral:rRNA from 1 species
UAGUGCACAAUGGGCGAAAGCCUGACGCAGCGACGCCGCGUGAGGGAUGACGGCCUUCGGGUUGUAAACCUCUUUCAGCAGGGAAGAAGCGCAAGUGACGGUACCUGCAGAAGAAGCACCGGCUAACUACGUGCCAGCAGCCGCGGUAAUACGUAGGGUGCGAGCGUUGUCCGGAAUUAUUGGGCGUAAAGAGCUUGUAGGCGGCUUGUCGCGUCUGCUGUGAAAAUCCGAGGCUCAACCUCGGACUUGCAGUGGGUACGGGCAGGCUAGAGUGUGGUAGGGGAGACUGGAAUUCCUGGUGUAGCGGUGAAAUGCGCAGAUAUCAGGAGGAACACCGAUGGCGAAGGCAGGUCUCUGGGCCACUACUGACGCUGAGAAGCGAAAGCAUGGGGAGCGAACAGG